GACGUAGGGCGCGAGCGUUGUCCGGAUUUAUUGGGCGUAAAGAGCUCGUAGGCGGCUUGUCGCGUCGUUCGUGAAAACUUGGGGCUCAACCCCAAGCUUGCGGUCGAUACGGGCAGGCUAGAGUUCGGUAGGGGAGACUGGAAUUCCUGGUGUAGCGGUGAAAUGCGCAGAUAUCGGGAAGAACACCCGUGGCGAAGGCGGCUCUCUGGGACGGUAUGACGCUG
rnacentral:rRNA from 1 species